AGUGAACGCUGGCGGCAGGCCUAACACAUGCAAGUCGAACGGCAGCACAGUAAGAGCUUGCUCUUACGGGUGGCGAGUGGCGGGCGGGUGAGGAAAACAUCGUAAUCUACUUUUUCGUGGGGGAUAACGCAGGGAAACUUACGCCAAUACCGCAUACGACCUACGGGGGAAAGCAUGGGAUCUUCGGACCUUGCGCGAGUGAAUGAGCCGAUGUCGGAUUUGCUUGUUGGCGGGGUAAAGGCCCACCAAGGCGACGAUCGGUAGCUGGUCUGAGAGGAUGAUCAGCCACACUGGAACUGAGACACGGUCCAGACUCCUACGGGAGGCAGCAGUGGGGAAUAUUGGACAAUGGGCGCAAGCCUGAUCCAGCCAUACCGCGUGGGUGAAGAAGGCCUUCGGGUUGUAAAGCCCUUUUGUUGGGAAAGAAAAGCAGCAGGUUAAUACCCCGCUGUUCUGACGGUACCCAAAGAAUAAGCACCGGCUAACUUCGUG
rnacentral:rRNA from 1 species